CAGCUGUAACCGAUGCAGGCUAGGUGUUAGGGCGGCCACGCGCCGCUCUAGUGCCGCAGGGAAGCUGUUAAGCCUGCCGCCUGGGGAGUACGGCCGCAAGGCUGAAACUUAAAGGAAUUGGCGGGGGAGCACCACAAGGGGUGAAGCUUGCGGUUU
rnacentral:rRNA from 1 species